GCCAGGCAUGGUGGUGCAUGCCUGUAAUCCCAGCUCCUCGGGAGGCUGAGGCAGGAGAAUUGCUUGAACCCAGGAGCUGGAGGUUGCGGUGAGCUGAGAUCGCACCACUGCACUCCAGCCUGGGUGACAGAGUGAGACUGUGUCUCAA
ensembl:misc_RNA Metazoa_SRP Metazoan signal recognition particle RNA